rnacentral:lncRNA from 1 species
GUAUUAUCCUCCAAUGUGACAUAAGGUGCAAAGACCCCAGAAAUAAUAGUAAUAGUGGCAAAAAGAGGCUGGGAGCCAGAUUACAGAGACUGAACAAGCAGAGAGAUAAGGAAACAGGAAGGAAGCAAAGCUAAGAAGGAAAAAGUAGUGCUUAGGUCCAGCCAUAUGAACUCUGGUUCUCUGGCAGGACUUCUGUUAAAGAAGAGUAACUUUUAGGAAAAAAGCAAAACCCUAGUCCUGAAGAUGGUGAAGCCACGCAAGGGAUUCAGUCAGUAGCACAAAGAACAGUGGAGAGCCAACUUCAUCUACACUUGGCUUAUUCUGCACCCAUAAAAAUCAAUGAAUGGCCUGAUGAACCAAAUGAAAACAACGAAGCAUAUGAAGAUGAUGGAUAUCCAUCAAAAUACUCAGAUCUCCUUCCACAGCCUUCAAACUGGGAGCCCUACUUCUUGCCCUUCACUACUCUUGGCCUAUCAGGGGAAGUUGAGGACCUAGGAGGGUGCAAUGAAAAAUGAAACCGUGAUCAAAGAGAUAAGAACCCAGAGAGAUCAUGAUAUAGCAUAUGCUAUACCAAAAAGAUACAUCAAAUGGAAUCUAGGGAAUAUGGAUUUAUAAAGUUCAAUCCAAAAGUGCCCUGUAAUCCAUUCUCAUAUAUCACUACACUAUGUGAAACAAUAAAUGCAUUAUUUAAUCAGAAAAGUAUGGCUUCUAUUUUUUUUUUCAACCAAA